rnacentral:rRNA from 1 species
UCCGUAGGGGGCAAGCGUUGUCCGGAAUUAUUGGGCGUAAAGCGCGCGUAGGCGGCCAGGUAAGUCCGCUGUGAAAUCUCGAGGCUCAACUUCGAGCUGUCGGUGGAAACUAUCUGGCUAGAGUCCGGAAGAGGAGAAUGGAAUUCCUGGUGUAGCGGUGAAAUGCGCAGAUAUCAGGAAGAACACCCGUGGCGAAGGCGGUUCUCUGGGACGGUACUGACGCUGAGACGCGAAAGCGUGGGGAGCGAACAGG